rnacentral:rRNA from 1 species
AUUGAACGCAGGCGGCAUGCCUUACAUAUGCAAGUCGAACGGCAGCACGGGGCAACCUGGUGGCGAGUGGCGAACGGGUGAGUAAUGCAUCGGAACGUACCUUUCAGUGGGGGAUAACGUAGCGAAAGUUACGCUAAUACCGCAUAUUCUGUGAGCAGGAAAGCAGGGGAUCGCAAGACCUUGCGCUGAUUGAGCGGCCGAUGUCGGAUUAGCUAGUUGGUGAGGUAAAGGCUCACCAAGGCGACGAUCUGUAGCGGGUCUGAGAGGAUGAUCCGCCACACUGGAACUGAGACACGGUCCAGACUCCUACGGGAGGCAGCAGUGGGGAAUUUUGGACAAUGGGGGCAACCCUGAUCCAGCCAUGCCGCGUGAGUGAAGAAGGCCUUCGGGUUGUAAAGCUCUUUCGGCCGGGAAGAAAUCGCACGGGCUAAUACCCUGUGUGGAUGACGGUACCGGAAUAAGAAGCACCGGCUAACUACGUGCCAGCCGCCGCCGUAACAC